rnacentral:rRNA from 1 species
UACGUAGGGUCCGAGCGUUGUCCGGAAUUAUUGGGCGUAAAGGGCUCGUAGGCGGUUUGUCGCGUCGGGAGUGAAAACACGGGGCUUAACCCCGUGCCUGCUUCCGAUGCGGGCAGACUAGAGGUAUGCAGGGGAGAACGGAAUUCCUGGUGUAGCGGUGAAAUGCGCAGAUAUCAGGAGGAACACCGGUGGCGAAGGCAGGUCUCUGGGCCGAUACUGACGCUGAGGAGCGAAAGCGUGGGGAGCGAACAGG